rnacentral:rRNA from 1 species
AUGCACGCUGGCGGCGUGCCUAAUACAUGCAAGUCGAGCGAACAGACGAGGAGCUUGCUCCUCUGACGUUAGCGGCGGACGGGUGAGUAACACGUGGAUAACCUACCUAUAAGACUGGGAUAACUUUGGGAAACCGGAGCUAAUACCGGAUAAUAUAUUGAACCGCAUGGUUCAAUAGUGAAAGACGGUUUUGCUGUCACUUAUAGAUGGAUCCGCGCCGCAUUAGCUAGUUGGUAAGGUAACGGCUUACCAAGGCGACGAUGCGUAGCCGACCUGAGAGGGUGAUCGGCCACACUGGAACUGAGACACGGUCCAGACUCCUACGGGAGGCAGCAGUAGGGAAUCUUCCGCAAUGGGCGAAAGCCUGACGGAGCAACGCCGCGUGAGUGAUGAAGGUCUUCGGAUCGUAAAACUCUGUUAUUAGGGAAGAACAAAUGUGUAAGUAACUAUGCACGUCUUGACGGUACCUAAUCAGAAAGCCACGGCUAACUACGUG